AGAUGGCAUAGCAGUUCAGACGUCUUUUGUCCUCGUCUUGUCGUGUCCCGUAUAUAUAUAUAUUUACACAUUUUUUCACAUACAUUUUUUACAUUUUCCAUCAACUCAUCUUCAAAACACUCUCCUACAACCCGCCUCACCAAUUUAUAUUUAUAAAAAAGUAUUAUUUACCUCAAAUCUGUAAUCCUCCAAGAAGCUAGCCAGAUACUCCAAGAAGCUAGCCAGAAGCUAGACAGGAGCUAGCCAGAAGCUAGCCCAGAAGCUAAUCCAGAAGCUAAUCAGAAGCUAGUUCAGAAGCUAGUUAGCUUCUUUACUGGCAAAUCAUUAGUAUUCAGCUAACCACGGUUUGUGGUCAUCAGCUAUCCUUUAGCUCGAAAAUCUAUCGCCAGUUUUGUACGGCGCAGCGCGGCUCGGAACGGAACAUACCGGACCAAUUUUUCUCUCCAUGUCCCUGGAUUUCAACCGAUCUCUGGACAUUCAUACCUGGUUCUCACAGCUAGCUAGCUGCUAUCCGUGUGACUAUCGGCUUUCAUCGAUACCGGAGCAAACAUCAAUUAUUCCGGAGCUAGCCAGCUCCGUCAAUCACUCCUGAGUUCCAUCAAUCACUCCUGGGCUGCAGUCACCUAUCCGGACCCGUUUUACUGCCUACGCGGAGCCCCACCGGGCCUUCACAACUGGACUGCCGACGUUAUCUACCCGAAGGAGUUAUCCGGCUGGCUCCUCCGUUGCGACGUUACCUGAACGCCCAUCUGCGGCCUGCUAACCGUUAGCUGUCUUAUCGGCUGCUAUCUGAAUAGACAAUCGGACAAUUUAUUUAUUUGUAUUAUUAUUGUGUUUUCUUCAUGGGCCUCUAUAACUAUAUCUAUUGUUUUUAUUUUUGUUGUUGUUGUGUGAUUUGGAUUAAUCCCCUCUGCCACACGGAACCCCACUAAUCUACUGUCGGAACGCAAGAGGUGGCUAAUAACAGACCUCCAUCCUAUGCUAGCUUGCUACCGAUGGCCUGGCUAGCUGUCUAAAUCGCUGUGACCCCCAACCAACCUCUCCACUCACCGGACCCUUUUGAUCACUCGACUAAGCAUGCCUCUCCUUAAUGUCAAUAUGCCUUGUCCAUUGCUGUUCUGGAAGAACAGAGGGUAGUGGCACUGUAGAAAAGGAGAGAGGGAGAGACCGAGAGAGAGGUGCUCUACACAUCAUCCACAGCUGACACAGACAGUUUCAUCCUCCAACCUUUGCUCAACGCUACACACAGACUGGACUAAGGGCUCCUACUCCCUCCAGAAGACUAUGGCCUCAACUGCUUUUUUUAAAGGCACAGGCCUCCUGCUCUUCUUACUACUGGGACUGCAGCCAUCGUCAUUUGUUUCAGGACAAAACACAACCUCGAGUUCCAAUACAACGACCGAUGCUACAACCACGGUGGCUGCAACAAUUGUGUUGUCAACUGACAUGAGUACUGUCUCUGCAACAGCUACGAUGACAGUUACCACAGCUCAAGCUACAAUGUCGUCUGCCAUUUCUUCUACGAAUGCUGCAAUGUCAUCUGCAGGGUUGGCAACUACGAUGGCAGCUACGAGGGUUCAAGGUGCUGCUAAUACGGCAACCUCCAAUUCGUCCAGUGUAGGUUCAAUGACAACAGCCAUGACCUCCACUUCAAGAAGUGUAACCAUUGACAACUCAAGGAAUACAGUGGCGGGUAGUGGAACCCCAAGCACGGACAAUACUACCUCAUGGGGCACCAGUGGCAUGACCAUGAUAUCCUGUCGCCAGUUCUCCUGUAACUACUCAGACUGCUACGAUGUGUACAUGAAUAGGACUUCUGUUUCAUGCAACGCUAAUAUCACCUUCUGUGAGCUGAAGAGACAGGAAGACAUGACUUACACCGGCGGCUGCAGUUCCUCCUGCAGGAAUGCCUGUGUCAAUAACACUCAGACCAACUGUACCACGGGAUGCUGCAACUCCACUGGCUGUCUUCGCUCCACCCUGGCCUCCAUGGUUCGCCCAAACACUACAACAGUGACUACAGUGAUGAUGACCACCACCACAACAACAGCAGCAGCCACCACUACAACUGCUAUGCCAACCAAUAAACUUAAGAAGUGCCAGAUGUUUCAGUGCACAGAGCAGAACUGUUACAAGACUUGGAUAACCAAAGACCCAAUGCCUUGUCCCCUCAACCAGCCCUACUGUGAGUUGAAAAAGAUGACAAUUGGUUCAACAACGAUGUGGAUGGGAGGCUGCAAUGCCGACUGCACAAGAAACACUUGGUGUACGACCACAACAGGUACAUGCCACCAAGAGUGCUGCAACACCUCCAUAACAUCCUGCCUCAAGCUGGAUGGGUCUCUGAACGUUCCUUCUUCUGCCACUAGAGGUCCUCACUUCCCUUUAGCAUUGAUCACUGCUGCUCUGCUGGUUUGUCUACUCAGCAUUGGUUCUCUGGUUUAAACUGGGUCGUGUUCAGUGGGUACAAGCGGAAGAAAAUGUAUUGAAAGAGGGAGGAAAUACCUUGACUUGUCCCUUGCAAAAUGGUUUAAAACAUUGCCUGUUGUGUGACUUAAUGAACAACCCUGAUGUGUUGACCCACUGAGCCAUUGCUUGAAUUUAAACAGUAGCAGUAGUAGUUAGCACGGCAAAACCUGGUUUCCAUUCCACAUGAAUACUAUACUGGUUGUAGGUCUAGCUUACUCUGUUUUUGUUUGUUUGCUUGUAUAUGAGGGGUAUUGAGAUACUGUAUGUGAGGGCUCAUAUGUGCUUUUGAGAGAUUUAGGUGAUUUAAUAAGUGAUAAUGAUUCCCCUAUGUGAGUCCAAACCAAAUGGGUUUAAAGGGAUUUAUUGAAGAAUAUGACGAUUAAUAUGGCUACAGAAAGCUAUUCAACCAUACCAUCAUACCCAUUUAUAAAUCAGUACUAUGUAAAACAUAAUACACAGAAGAUAGCUAUUUACGAUCAUAGAUGAGUGACCUAAUGUAUGGUACGGUAAUUAAUUCUGCUUUUUCUUAUUGAGAUUUCUGUAAGAUGAAGUUUCCAAUUAUGACAUUUUCAUAAAUAUCCUAUUUUUUUAGGCACAUUUUCUUUUGCCAGUGAUUUGCAUGAUGACUUCCAUGUUUUCUUAGAUUUUUCACUUGCAAAGACCUAGCCUGGUCUCAGAUCUGGUUGUGCUCUUGCUAACUCAAUUGCUCAUUGACAAACCAAAAAUGCCCAGUACAAGGAGUUGGCAUGAUAGCACAAACAGACUGGCACUCAGGCUAAAGACUUUCUCCAAUACAAAAGCAAACAUCUUUACAGAUAUUGCAUAAUAACUCAGUUAUUACCUAGUCCUCGCUAGCAUGUUGUGAAAGACAGAUUGACAAUUUAUGCACUUUUUAAAACAUAUAUAUUGGGUUAUAGAAGGUUUUUGAAAUAUUUGUACUGACGCAUUGAGGUGUAAUUCAUAUCUGUGAACGUAGUCAUAAACUGUACAACUGGAAUAUGUGUUUUACGCCUUUUAUUAUUUAGCUGUAUUCAUACUUAUAAUUUACCAUCAUAACAAUGUGGAAAUUGAUUCUUAAAAAUGGGUUAUAAAAUUGAGUUAUCAAAAUGUCUAAGCGUAUAUUUUUUGCAGUAGUUUCUUCGAAAGUUGGCAUACA
ensembl:lncRNA